AAGAUUGGUGAAUAAAAAUAUUUAUCUUUUUUAUUUCCUAGAUUACUCAGAAGUAUCAACUUCAUGAAGUCACCGCUUAUCUAUUGGAAAAGAAAGGAGAUAUUCAUGGUGCCUUCCUAAUAAUGUUAGAGAGACUACAAAGCAAACUUCAAGAGGUAACACAUCAAGGUGAAAGUAAGUUCUUGAAAAUAAUUACAACAUUUUUCAUCCUUGGACCCCAUGUUUUAAAAGAUGUUUAAUAAAUUGCAUUUAUUAUGUAAUAAUUACACUUGCAUAUAUGCAUAAUUACUGUUUAUUCAUUUUAACAUGGAUCCAAAUUUUAGCUAAUUUUCAAGAGUUCACAACAGGAAAUCAUAGAAACCAUUGUGGCUUUGUGAUGUUAAUUUUCGGUGGAGUUAAAUAUACAGAAAAUUAUGCACUGUUUGUUGGUUAUCUUUUUUUUUUUUUGACAGGCUUUCGCUCUGUUGCCCAGGAUGGAGUGCAGUGGCACAAUCUUGGCUCACUGCAACCUCCAUCUUCCAGGCUUAAGCAGUCCUUCUGCCUCACCCUCCCAAGUAGCUGGGACUACAGGCGUAUGCCAUCACAUUGGCUAAUUUCUGUAUUUUUUGUAGAGAUGGGGUUUCACCUGUCACCCAGGCUGGUCUCGAACUCUUGGCUGAAGUGAUCUGCACACCUCAGCCUCCAAAGGUGGUGAGAUUGUAGACAUAAGCCACCACGCUAGGCUGGUUAUCUUUUUGUUUAUACUUUUGCUAUAACAAAAGUAUGGUUUAGUUAUGUUUAAAUGAGGUAUAUAACUAACAUCCUAAAAAUUAAUGUGCCAAACAACAGCAAAUCAGAGCUUCUAAUUAGUAGGACAUUGAACAUAGCCAAUGUUUCCAAACCGAAUUUAUACAGUUUUAACCCAAAGCAGUAAAAGUUGACAAUUUAGUAUCUUGAGUGGUUUUGUCCUCAGCAAAUACAAAAUUUUCAUCAUAUUCCUUGAUAUUUC
rnacentral:lncRNA from 1 species